AACGAACGCUGGCGGCAGGCCUAACACAUGCAAGUCGAGCGGACCCUUCGGGGUUAGCGGCGGACGGGUGAGUAACGCGUGGGAAUAUGCCCUUCUCUACGGAAUAGUCCUGGGAAACUGGGGGUAAUACCGUAUACGCCCUUUGGGGGAAAGAUUUAUCGGGGAAGGAUUAGCCCGCGUUGGAUUAGGUAGUUGGUGGGGUAAUGGCCUACCAAGCCGACGAUCCAUAGCUGGUUUGAGAGGAUGAUCAGCCACACUGGGACUGAGACACGGCCCAGAAUCCUACGGGAGGGAGCAGUGGGGGAUCUUAGACAAUGGGGGCAACCCUGAACGAGCCAGGACGGGUGAGUGAUGAAGGCAUUAGGGUUGUAAAGCGCUUUCAGCUGGGAAGAUAAUGACGGUACCAGCAGAAGAAGCCCCGGCUAACUCCGUG
rnacentral:rRNA from 1 species